GCUUAAUCCCGCGCGGCUCAGAGAUGGGUUUCUGGACUCGCGAAGCAGCUGCAACAAGGCAUCACUCACUGUAUAAGUAUUUCCAUUUCUGAGAGCAAAAGGAAGAACUUAAGCGGGCGGCACUUGGAGUGUAAAUUGCUUUGUAGUAUUUAAAGGCAGAAUGGAUCCUGGGCAGCCGAGCUGCAACAAACCGGCAGGACUUCCUGUGAAAUCAUGACCACCAUGUGCUCUUUCAGCCUCUAUCAGUUCCUACCUCUAAGCACCUGAGAGCCAAAGCAAACCACAGGAAACCACAGACUCAAACUAAACGUCAGCUUUUCCCGGCUCUCAAGCCUGCUGGUCCCUGAACUAAAACUCACAUUAUCAACUCUACUGGUUCUUAGGCCUUUGGAGUCAGACUGGAACUACAGCAUUGACUCUUCCGGAACUCCAGCUUACUGACUACAGAUCUUGGAACUUUUCAGCUUCCACAACCAUAAUGAAAGCCAAGCAUAUUCCAUCAUUUCCUAAAACCAAGAUAGAGCACAUAUGGGAACUUGUGAAAUAAGGAUGCCCUGCGGUUGUUUUCAGGACUGAAGACAACAGCUCCACGAUGAAACCAAAGCACAAAGAGAGAAAGAAAAGAAAGAGAAAAAAGGAAGAAAGAAAAGAAAGAUGAAAGAAAGAAAGAGAAAGAAGAGAGAGGGAGAGAGAGAAAGAAAGAGAAGGAAAGAAAGAAGGAAGAAGAAAGAAAGAAAGAAAGAAAGAAAGAAAGAAAGAAAGAAAGAAAGAAAGAAAGAAAGAAAGAAAGAAAGAAAAAAGGAAGGAAGGAAAAGAAACACAUGGAAAGUGGCUCCCUUUGUAUAUCACCUUGCAUGGUAAAGUGCAGAGAGCUCCAUCAGAGAAAUGCAGUUAAAAUCCAGUAGAUACCACCGUACACCUGAAAGACUUGUGAACAAACAGAUGACAGAAAAACAAAACAAAGCAAAACAGAACCUGAGAAUUUGAAUUGCUGCUUCUUUGGACCUUUUAAGUUGCAUUAUCCCAUAAAAUGUGGUGGAUUCAAUGUUGUAUGGCCUGUAAAACUAAGUAAUGAAGGCUGAUAUGUACCCACCUGGCUCUGUCUUGGGAUCACACAACUUGGGAGCCAAAACAGGUAUAAUUGUGAUCUCUUCCCAGGAAAAAG
rnacentral:lncRNA from 1 species